GACGAACGCUGGCGGUGUGCUUAACACAUGCAAGUCGAACGGUAAGGCCCUUUCGGGGGUACACGAGUGGCGAACGGGUGAGUAACACGUGAUUAACCUGCCCUCAUCUCUGGGAUAACAGUCGGAAACGGUUGCUAAUACUGGAUAUGAGCUUGCAAGGCAUCUUGUGGGUUGGAAAGAUUUUUUUUGGUUGGGGAUGGACUCGCGGCCUAUCAGCUUGUUGGUGAGGUAGUGGCUCACCAAGGCUUCGUCGGGUAGCCGGCCUGAGAGGGCGACCGGCCACAUUGGGACUGAGAUACGGCCCAAACUCCUACGGGAGGCAGCAGUGGGGAAUAUUGCACAAUGGACGGAAGUCUGAUGCAGCAACGCCGCGUGCGGGAUGACGGCCUUCGGGUUGUAAACCGCUUUCAAUUGUGACGAAGCUUUUUUGUGACGGUAGCAGUAGAAGAAGCACCGGCUAACUACGUG
rnacentral:rRNA from 1 species